rnacentral:lncRNA from 1 species
GUGGGUUGGUAGAUUAUUUGGUUAAUCGUCUAUUAACUUGUGUGUGAGGUGUUCUAUUGAGUUGCAGCGAGUAAGUGUGUUUGUUGAUCGGUACUUUAAGGGAUGAAAACCUUAAAGUGAAGGGAGUUCGAAGCCAAACCCAAACCCAAAAGAGAAAGAGGAGAGACAGAUUCAGAGGAAUUUGACAGUGGUAUGGACUGGACAAAU